UCGUUUGAGGUCGUAGCGGGAUUUCUUAGUGGCAGCUCCUUGAAAGCGGCAGCUCUUUAGCUCAGUGCAGAUGUUGCCUGUAAUCCAUGGCUUUCGGUUGGGAUAUAUUGUUAGAUACUACUGAUACUACUGAAUCUGAGAACAUAUUCCAGUCUGUGUUAGCGAAACAGUCCUGUAGCUUAGCAUCACGCUUCAUCUAACCACUUCCAUAUUGAGUGUGUCACUGGUACUUCCUGUUUGAGUUUUUACUUAUAAGCAGGAAUCAGGAGGAUUGAGUUGUGGUCUGAUUUGUCUAAAGGAUGGAGAGCCUUGUAUGUGUCUCUGUGUAGAGUAGAGGUGAUAUAGAGUUUUAUAUGUGUCUCUGUGUAGAGUAGAGGUAAUCUAGAGUUGUAUAUGUGUCUCUGUGUAGAGUAGAGGUGAUCUAGAGUUUUAUAUGUGUCUCUGUGUGUAGAGUGGAGGUCAUCUAGAGUUUUAUAUGUGUCUCUGUGUAGAGUAGAGGUAAUCUAGAGUUUUAUAUGUGUCUCUGUGUAGAGUAGAGGUCAUCUAGAGUUUUAUAUGUGUCUCUGUGUAGAGUAGAGGUAAUCUAGAGUUUUAUAUGUGUCUCUGUGUAGAGUAGAGGUGAUCUAGAGUUUUAUAUGUGUCUCUGUGUAGAGUAGAGGUAAUCUAGAGUUUUAUAUGUGUCUCUGUGUAGAGUAGAGGUCAUCUAGAGUUUUAUAUGUGUCUCUGUGUAGAGUAGAGGUCAUCUAGAGUUUUAUAUGUGUCUCUGUGUAGAGUAGAGGUAAUCUAGAGUUUUAUAUGUGUCUCUGUGUAGAGUAGAGGUAAUCUAGAGUUUUAUAUGUGUCUCUGUGUAGAGUAGAGGUCAUCUAGAGUUUUAUAUGUGUCUCUGUGUAGAGUAGAGGUCAUCUAGAGUUUUAUAUGUGUCUCUGUGUAGAGUAGAGGUAAUCUAGAGUUUUAUAUGUGUCUCUGUGUAGAGUAGAGGUCAUCUAGAGUUUUAUAUGUGUCUCUGUGUAGAGUAGAGGUAAUCUAGAGUUUUAUAUGUGUCUCUGUGUAGAGGUAAUCUGGAGUUUUAUAUGUGUCUCUGUGUAGAGUAGAGGUAAUCUAGAGUUUUAUAUGUGUCUCUGUGUAGAGUAGAGGUAAUCUAGAGUUUUAUAUGUGUCUCUGUGUAGAGUAGAGGUAAUCUAGAGUUUUAUAUGUGUCUCUGUGUAGAGUAGAGGUCAUCUAGAGUUUUAUAUGUGUCUCUGUGUAGAGUAGAGGUGAUAUAGAGUUUUAUAUGUGUCUCUGUGUAGAGUAGAGGUCAUCUAGAGUUUUAUAUGUGUCUCUGUGUAGAGUAGAGGUCAUCUAGAGUUUUAUAUGUGUCUCUGUGUAGAGUAGAGGUCAUCUAGAGUUUUAUAUGUGUCUCUGUGUGGAGUAUUGUCUACUCUGGUUGACAGGUGGUAAAGAUGAGAUAAAACUCAUUUCAGUUUCCCCACCUCUGGAUGUCCAUUUUCUUCUUGACUUAUCCCUAUACCGAUUAUUGUGGUGGUGAAGAAAAAGAUUGGAAAACUCUCUUGGUAAAUAUUAUUGUCUGCAGUUUAUCAUGAGAUAUUCUAACUCAGGUGAGCAAAAACUCGAGACUUCCUUAACAUUAGAAAUCUCUCCCAAACUGUUGUUAAUAAUCAGUAUUGUGUGUGUGUGUUUCCAGAUCACCUUUUCAGACCCAGAGAUAGAGGCAUUACAGGGAAGGAGAUGCAGCUCAGAACCAGACAGAACUAUAACAAUCUGCCAGAGGUGAGGAGGAAACAGGAGGAAGAGAAGAGGAGGGAGGACUUCCUGACUAACAGGCUGAGAGCAGAUCUCUUCAAAAAGAAACUGUUAGAACAGAUCCUUCAAAGGGGUAGUCGCUGAGUGAAGCCAAGGGUGAAUGGUCCGAGCGUACGUGAUCCCCCUCCUCCUUCCAGCAUACUGCCUUACUUUGAGAGACCCAACAACCAUCGAGACGGACUGGCGAUUAUCAUAACGACAGUAUUAAUACACAUUAUAAUGCUUUGAGAGACCCAACAACCAUCAAGACGGACUGACGAUUAUCAUAACGACAGUAUUAAUACACAUUAUAAUGCUUUGAGAGACCCAACAACCAUCAAGACGGACUGACGAUUAUAAUACACAUUAUAAUUAAGCAGCAUCAUUUUUAUAAAAUUAUAAACAAAUUUUAAAAAAUUGUAGUAAAAAUGGGUGUCAUUAGAAAUGAAACCAAACGAUGUUAUAAUGAUAAUUAUGUAAUGUAUAAUUAUGUAAUGUAUAAUUAUGUAAUGUAUAAUUAUAAUAAUGUAUAAAUAUGUAAUGUAUAAUUAUGUAAUGUAUAAUUAUGUAAUGUAUAAUUAUGUAAUGUAUAAUUAUAAUAAUAUAAUGUCCUUCUAACGUUUAAUUAAUAUAUUUUCAUUAUCAUAUUACUGUUGUUAUGAUCAAAACCUGUUUGAUUUACAGGAGCACACUGGUCUUCCUGUUUCACUGCUCUAAGCCAAUCGUAUCGAACUACUGAAAGCUCCGCUGAAUGUCAGCCUGCUUCACCAGAAGCUUUCUGAGGGUCUGGAAAAAAAAAGGUGUAGAAUACGGGUUUUAGUUGUGAGAUUACAUUGUAAUGAAUGCUGCUGUUCUAUGUUAUCUAUGCAUAGUGGGCUUUGUACUGUAUUGAAGCCUUCCAUUAAAACACUGUAUCGUUGGCUCCACUAAAUGCUGCUCUUCUAUGUUAUCUAUGUUAUCCUGCUUGUUUAUAUUAUUCAACUUGAUUUAGCAGGUUAAGUUAGUAAGAACAAAUUCUUAUUUACAACUUCGGCCAAUGUGGUCUAGGGUGGGUUCUGUGGUCUAGGGUGGUACAUGGGGUCUAGGGUGGGUUCUGUGGUCUAGGGUGGGUUCUGUGGUCUAGGGUGGGUUCUGUGGUCUAGGGUGGUACAUGGGGUCUAGGGUGGUAGAUGUGGUCUAGGGUGGGUUCUGUGGUCUAGGGUGGGUUCUGUGGUCUAGGGUGGUACAUGGGGUCUAGGGUGGGUUCUGUGGUCUAGGAUGGUACAUGAGGUCUAGGGUGGGUUCUGUGGUCUAGGGUGGUAGAUGUGGUCUAGGGUGGUUUCUGUGGUCUAGGGUGGUCUAGUGGUCUAGGGUGGUUUCUGUGGUCUAGGGUGGUCUAGUGGUCUAGGGUGGUUUCUGUGGUCUAGGGUGGUCUAGUGGUCUAGGGUGGUCUAGUGGUCUAGGGUGGUUUCUGUGGUCUAGGGUGGUCUAGUGGUCUAGGGUGGUCUAGUGGUCUAGGGUGGUCUAGUGGUCUAGGGUGGUUUCUGUGGUCCCUGCCAUCAUUCAGAAUUUCCAUCAGAACAUGGUCUGCAGACUGAAUCUGGAGACUCAAUCUGGAGACUGAAUCUGGAGACUGAAUCUGGAGACUGAAUCUGGAGACUGAAUCUGCAGACUGAAUCUGGAGACUGAAUCUGCAGACUGAAUCUGGAGACUGAAUCUGCAGACUGAAUCUGGAGACUGAAUCUGGAGACUGAAUCUGGAGACUGAAUCUGCAGACUGAAUCUGGAGACUGAAUCUGCAGACUGAAUCUGGAGACUGAAUCUGCAGACUGAAUCUGGAGAUUGAAUCUGCAGACUGGAUCUGGAGACUGGAUCUGGAGACUGAAUCUGGAGACUGAAUCUGCAGACUGAAUCUGCAGACUGGAUCUGCAGACUGAAUCUGGAGACUGAAUCUGCAGACUGAAUCUGGAGACUGCCAUCUACUUGCUUACUGUCUACUUGUGUAUCGACAUGCCUGACUUGUUGUGUGUGUGGGUGACUAAUGACUGUUCCAUGUAAAUAUUAAAUAUAUACAUCGUACUCAUCUUAA